rnacentral:rRNA from 1 species
GCACAAGCGGAGGAACAUGUGGUUUAAUUCGAUGAUACGCGAGGAACCUUACCCGGGCUUGAAUUGCAGUGGAAUAUAUUAGAAAUAGUAUAGCCGUAAGGCCGCUGUGAAGGUGCUGCAUGGUUGUCGUCAGCUCGUGCCGUGAGGCGUCGGCUUAAGUGCCAUAACGAGCGCAACCCUUAUCAUUAGUUACUAACAGGUGAUGCUGAGGACUCUAAUGAGACUGCCGUCGUAAGAUGCGAGGAAGGUGGGGAUGACGUCAAAUCAGCACGGCCCUUACGUCCGGGGCUACACACGUGUUACAAUGGGGGGUACAACAGGCAGCUACCGGGCGACCGGAUGCUAAUCCCAAAAACCUCUCUCAGUUCGGAUCGAAGUCUGCAACCCGACUUCGUGAAGCUGGAUUCGCUAGUAAUCGCGCAUCAGCCACGGCGCGGUGAAUACGCUCCCGGGCCUUGUACACACCGCCCGUCAAGCCAUGGGAGCCGGGGGCACCUGAAGUACGUAACCGCAAGGAGCGUCCUAGGGUGAAACUGGUGACUGGGGCUAAGUCGUAACAAGGUAGCC